rnacentral:rRNA from 1 species
UUGACGGGGCCCGCACAAGCGGCGGAGCAUGCGGAUUAAUUCGAUGCAACGCGAAGAACCUUACCAAGGCUUGACAUACACCGGUAACGCCCAGAGAUGGGUGCCCCUUUGUGGUCGGUGGACAGGUGGUGCAUGGUUGUCGUCAGCUCGUGUCGUGAGAUGUUGGGUUAAGUCCCGCAACGAGCGCAACCCUCGUCCUAUGUUGCCAGCGGGUCAUGCCGGGGACUCAUGGGAGACUGCCGGGGUCAACUCGGAGGAAGGUGGGGAUGACGUCAAAUCAUCAUGCCCCUUAUGUCUUGGGCUUCACGCAUGCUACAAUGGCCGGUACAAAGGGCUGCGAUACCGCGAGGUGGAGCGAAUCCCAGAAAGCCGGUCUCAGUUCGGAUUGGGGUCUGCAACUCGACCCCAUGAAGUCGGAGUCGCUAGUAAUCGCAGAUCAGCAACGCUGCGGUGAAUACGUUCCCGGGCCUU